rnacentral:rRNA from 1 species
CCCUUAGAUGUCCGGGGCCGCACGCGCGCUACACUGAAGGAAUCAGCGUGGCUUUCUCCCUGACCCGAAAGGGUUGGGAAACCCGUUGAAUCUCCUUCGUGAUAGGGAUUGGGGCUUGAAAUUGUUCCCCAUGAACGAGGAAUUCCCAGUAAGCGCGAGUCAUAAGCUCGCGUUGAUUACGUCCCUGCCCUUUGUACACACCGCCCGUCGCUACUACCGAUUGGAUGGCUUAAUGAGAGCUCUGGAUCUCUGCCGGCGCGGUCCUCACGGGUCGCGUUGGAUGGGGAGAAGUUGCUCAAAUUGAGUCUUCUAGAGGAAGUAAAAGUCGUAACA